rnacentral:rRNA from 1 species
UACAGAGGGUGCGAGCGUUGUUCGGAAUUACUGGGCGUAAAGCGAGUGUAGGCGGUUUGGUAAGUCGGAUGUGAAAGCCCCGGGCUCAACCCGGGAAGUGCACUCGAUACUGCCAAGCUAGAGUGUCGGAGAGGUUGGUGGAAUUCUCGGUGUAGAGGUGAAAUUCGUAGAUAUCGAGAGGAACACCGGUGGCGAAGGCGGCCAACUGGACGAACACUGACGCUGAGACUCGAAAGCGUGGGGAGCAAACAGG